AUACGGAGGAUGCAAGCGUUAUCCGGAUUUAUUGGGUUUAAAGGGUGCGUAGGCGGUUUGCUAAGCGGGAGGUGAAAUGCCGGCGCUCAACGUCGGAAGUGCCUCCCGAACUGGUGGACUUGAAUGACUCUGCCGUGGGAGGAAUGUGUAGUGUAGCGGUGAAAUGCUUAGAGAUUACACGGAACACCGAUUGCGAAGGCAUCUCACGAAGGGUUGAUUGACGCUGAGGCACGAAAGCGUGGGGAUCAAACAGGAUUAGAUACCCUGGUAGUCCACGCAGUAAACGAUGAUGGCUAACCGCUGGGCUUAUCAGUUCAGUGGCCAAGCGAAAGCGAUAAGCCAUCCACCUGGGGAGUACGACCGCAAGGUUGAAACUCAAAUGAAUUGACGGGG
rnacentral:rRNA from 1 species